GCCCGCCUAGCUCAAUCGGAUAGAGCGUCAGACUCUUACAAUCGUAAUGCAAGUGGCGAGCGAGGUGAUCUGAAGGCUGCGAGUUCGACCCUCGCGGUGGGCU